AUCCUGGCUUCAGAUUGAACGCUGGCGGCAUGCCUUACACAUGCAAGUCGAACGGCAGCACGGGGUGCUUUGCACCUUGGUUGGCGGAGUUGGCAGAACGGGGUUGAGUUAAUUACAUUCGGAACAUGUUCCCUUGUAAGUGGGGGGAUUAGCCCGGCGGAAAGCCGGAUUUAAUUACCGCCAUACGAUCUAUGGAUGAAAAGCGGGGGGACCUUUCGGGCCCUCGCCGCUAUAGGGGUUGGCCGAUGGCUGAUUAAGCUAGUUGGUGGGGGUAAAGGCCCUACCAAGGCGACGAUCAGUAGCUUGUUCUGAGAGGACGACCAGCCACACUGGGACUGAGACACGGCCCAGACUUCCUACGUGAGGCAGCAGUGGGGAAUUUUGGACAAUGGGCGAAAGCCUGAUCCAGCAAUGCCGCGUGUGUGAAGAAGGCCUUCGGGUUGUAAAGCACUUUUGUCCGGAAAGAAAUCCUUGGCUCUAAUACAGUCGGGGGAUGACGGUACCGGAAGAAUAAGCACCGGCUAACUACGUGCCAGCAGCCGCGGUAAUACGUAGGGUGCAAGCGUUAAUCGGAAUUACUGGGCGUAAAGCGUGCGCAGGCGGUUUGCUAAGACCGAUGUGAAAUCCCCGGGCUCAACCUGGGGAACUGCAUUGGUUGACUGGCAGGGCUAGAGUAUGGCAGAGGGGGGUAGAAUUCCACGUGUAGCAGUGAAAUUGCGUAGAGAUGUGGAGGAAUACCGAUGGCGAAGGCAGCCCCCUGGGCCAAUACUGACGCUCAUGCACGAAAGCGUGGGGAGCAAACAGGAUUAGAUACCCUGGGUAGUCCACGCCCUAAACGAUGUCAACUAGUUGUUGGGGAUUCAUUUUCCUUAGUAACGUAGCUAACGCGUGAAGUUGACCGCCUGGGGAGCCGUUGUCGCAAGAUUAAAACUCAAAGGAAUUGACGGGGACCCGCACAAGCGGUGGAUGAUGUGGAUUAAUUCGAUGCAACGCGAAAAACCUUUACCUUACCCUUGACAUUGGUCGGAAUCCUGAAGAGAUUCGGGAGUUGCUCGAAAAGAGAACCCGGGCGCACAGGUGCUGCAUGGCUGUUCGUCAGCUCGUGUCGUGAGAUGUUGGGUUAAGUCCCGCAACGAGCGCAACCCUUGUCCUUAGUUGCUACGCAAGAGCACUCUAAGGGAGACUGCCGGUGACCAAACCGGAGGAAGGUGGGGAUGACGUCAAGUCCUCAUGGCCCUUAUGGGUAGGGCUUCACACGUCAUACAAUGGUCGGAACAGAGGGUUGCCAACCCGCGAGGGGGAGCUAAUCCCAGAAAACCGAUCGUAGUCCGGAUUGCACUCUGCAACUCGAGUGCAUGAAGCUGGAAUCGCUUAGUAAUCCCGCGGAUCAGCCAUGCCGCGGUGAAAUACGUUCCCGGGUCUUGUACACACCGCCCGUCACACCAUGGGAGUGGGGUUUUACCAGAAGU
rnacentral:rRNA from 1 species